UACAGAGGUCUCGAGCGUUGUUCGGAUUCAUUGGGCGUAAAGGGCGCGUAGGCGGCGGGGUAAGUCUGGUGUGAAAUCUCGGAGCUCAACUCCGAAAUUGCACUGGAUACUGCUCUGCUAGAGGGCUGGAGAGGAGAUCGGAAUUCACGGUGUAGCAGUGAAUGCGUAGAUAUCGUGAGGAAGACAGUGGCGAAGGCGGAUCUCUGGACAGCUCCUGACACUGAGACAGCGAAGGCCAGGGAGCAAACGGG
rnacentral:rRNA from 1 species